CAGCCUCACUGUAAAGAAGUUCGUCCUCAUGCUGAGGCGAAACAUAGUGUGUUUUUAGAUUAUGGCCACUGCUCCUCGUCCUGUCACUGGACACCACCAAAAAGAGCCUGGUACCAUCCUCUACUCACCCGCCUUUUGAGAUACUUAUAUGCAUUAAUGAUCCUGUGAUUCUGUGAGGGGCGGGCUGAGGGGAGCGGCUGAGGAGAGAGUUGAGAUGAGAAGAGCAGCGGAGAUGAGCAGCACUGUGGCCAGCCCAAUGUCAACAGUUGUCUCUUCAGGCAGUGGAAGAAAAUCGACCAGCUUUACUCCUGAAUUGCAGAGUAUGAUGUUUUCCCUGGGAGAUGCUCGAAGGCCACUCCAUGAAACUGCAGUACUGGUGGAAGACAUUGUCCACACUCAACUGAUAAAUUUGUUGCAGCAAGCAGCUGAAGUUUCUCAGAUGAGAGGAGCUCGAGUCAUCUCUGCUGAAGAUCUUCUGUUCUUAAUGCGCAAAGAUAAGAAAAAGCUUAGAAGGCUACUUAAAUACAUGUUUUUUCGAGACUACAAAUCUAAAAUUGUCAAAGGAAUAGAAGAAGAUGACCUCCUUGAAGACAAAUUCAACAGUAAUAACACCAACAAAAGGCAGAAGCUUGCUCAAGACUUUCUCAACUCCAUUGACCAGACUGGAGAGCUCUUAGCCAUUUUUGAAGAUGAUGAGAUUGAUGAUGUCAAGCAAGAGCGAAUGGAGAGAGCAGAAAGACAAACACGAGCCAUGGACUCAGUCCAGUACGCAGAAUUCUGUGAAAGUCGGCAAUUGAGUUUUUCAAAGAAAGCAUCCAAAUUUCGUGACUGGUUGGACUGUAGCAGUAUGGAAAUAAAGCCAAAUGCAGUUGCAAUGGAGAUUUUGGCAUAUUUAGCAUACGAGACUGUGGCCCAGCUGGUGGACUUGGCCCUUUUGGUUAAACAGGACAUGACUCCCAAAGCUGGUGACCCAUUCAGUCAUGCCAUAUCUGCCACCUUCAUACAGUACCACAAUUCUACUGAGCCACAUCUCUUAGGGCAAUCUACCAGUGUGAAGACCAGUCUUGACUCUCCUGAAAACACACCACCUCCUACACCCACCCCCCCAGCAUCAGCAGGACAGCAACACCUUGGGAAAACCCCAUCAGGAGCCUUGGGGAAUGGUGGAAUUGGACAGGACUCUACCAAAUCCAAACAAAGGAAAAGAAAAAAGAGCACUGCAGCCUGUGGUAUAGAGGCUCAAAGUGAUGCCAUCCAGCCCAGCCACAUCAGAGAGGCCAUUCGACGCUACGGCCACAAGAUUGGCCCCCUUUCCCCAUUCACAAGUGCCUACCGCAGGAACGGGAUGACUUUUCUCGCCUGCUGAUGUGGAUGUGGCUGCAGCAACAGGAAAGACAGUGUUAUAUUAAGACUGAGGCUGAAGCACAUCUUAUCCCUUGAAACAGCCAUUGGUACCAAGCUGUCACAGUACUGCCUGCAGUCAGACAUAGCAAAACUAAAAUGUCAGAACUUCGUGUUACACACCACUCCACGUGGGAUUUCACAAACAUGCUGUAGGCCAAGUUUUGAGUGCAGCUGGGCCAGUUCAUGGUUACAGAUGAGCACAGAUGAAACGGAACGAUUUCAACCUGAAACCAGGCAGAACACGUUGACUUUGGCUGGAUGUGCUGGGAGUUACGGAGUUUGUAGGAAACCAAAACUCAGAAGGGGAGAAGCCCACACAAACCAAAGCAAAAGCAGGGAUUUGCAGGAGUGCCUGCAAGCUGAACAUGCACAAUUGGGAAGGACUUGACAUCUGGCAAACAGACUGACCUUUGUGUCAAGGAUGAACAUGCACUGAAAGUCUGCAGGGAAACUCACAGAAUCCCAAACUUGCUAAAGUCUCCAACUUUUGCCAAGCUGCAAGGUGCAAGGUGUGAAGCCCAGGUGAGAUUUUGAUGUCACCCACAAUGGAUGUGGUUUUUUUCUGGGCUGCUUCUGCUGUUGUGGGGUCCAAGAAUGUUCUUCAUCAUAACCAUUAAAAACAAAAGGAAAAUCCUGACUUCUUCAGUCAUUCUCAGGCCUGUAUGUACCUCAUGUUGUCUUUUCUUCAUCCAUCCAGAGUUCAAGUAGUGCUUGAAUAAUGCUGUCAGGCACAUGGUGUGAUUCUUGGUGUUGUCCUAUGCAGGGCCAGGAGUUGGACUUCAGUGUUCCUUUUGGGUCCUUCCCAAUUUAGGAUAUUCUAUGAUUCUAUGAUUCUAUCAUUGUUCUCUUUUCACCCAUGUGGCUAAAGAGAAGUAUUUUUAUUAUUUGCAGUAUUUGUCAUUUCAGAUAACCCACAUCUCUCUUCGAGUUCUCACUUUAUUCCUGAAUUACUGGAUUACUAAUCUACAGCUGCUGGCACCCCAUUCUGCCCCUUUUAAGCAAUCUACUAGCUCCUGAUAGUCAAGGCUGAUGAUCUAAUUUUAGUCCUGGCAGUGCAAUUCAGUUUUCAGUCUUAACACUGAAACUCAGUGGAGCAGAAUCCACUAAUGGGACCCCUGUAUUAGUUAGCAUAGCACUUCCUAAAAUGCUAAAAGCACUGCUUAUAUUAAUUGUCCUGAAGACACUUGAGGUAAAUGGGAUGAAGAACAAGAAGUCAUAGUGAUAAACAACUUACAUGACCUUCUCAUAGAUGGCAUUUUGGCUGGAAAAAAGGAUUUCAUCCUUUUGCCACGACCAAAAUUGUUGUACUCCAGAGAUACCCUUUGAUAUUCCAGAUCAUGCAACACACUUCCACAUGAAGGUCAAUGUUUAGUUCAACCCUUUCAUGUAAAUCUCUGAGCUGGGCAAAUUGCAAGUGAAGGAAGUAAAAGACUUGCAGGAAUCUGUUUUGAAAAGGCUGGUGAUUACAGCUGAGAUUCCUCCUGUAUGAGAAAACCAUCCCUUGGUUGAUGGUGUGGCUGCAUCUUGGAACAUCAAGCACAGUGUUUAUGCAAAUCUGAGUGUUCUUCUGCUUGUUCUGCUACAAAAGCCAUUCUCCCUGGGACACAGAAGGAAAUCCAGUGAGACAAGGUAAUAGAGAUGGAAGACUGCUAAUGGAAAGAUUAGGUCUCUGGGCUGUCAGACUUGUCUCUCUUAAGCACAUGUUUAUGCUUUAAGUUAAAUAAUACAGCAUGUUUAUGCAUGUGAAUAUAUAUAUACUGCAUAUGUAUCUGAAUGUAUGAAUGGUAAGAGGCUGUUCUGUGCAAGAAAGUCACAUCAGACUAGUUUCACAUUUUUAUGUAUUAUAUUACAUUUCAUUACAUUUAUAUUACAAUGUAAAAGGUUUCUGCCUUUCCCCAGAAAACACAAUCUUAACAUUCAUGUGCUCAUGUUCAACAAGCCUGUACACACACAGGAUCUUGGAGAGCAAGUUGGUUUGGAUGUUACCAGAAUUUUCUUGCCCUGCAGAUGGUUUCUGUCUCCUAGCUCUGGAUAAAAUAUGUCCUUGCCAUUGCUUCAGUGCUGGAUUCAAGUCCUGUUGAGGGAAUCAGUGGGUCGGGGUUCCCACUACUCCCGGUGUCCUUGUCCUUUUGUUCCAUAAAAAAGUUUUAUAUGUUCCUGUCACUGUACUUAAUAAACAAUUUAAAAAAAAAAACCAAACCCAAUCCAUCCAGGUCUAUUCUACUUUACCAAGUCUAAUUUUUUUGCCCUUUGCAGACCUUGAUAUUACUUGCAGCAACCUGUAUUUGGUGCAACAUAACUGCACUUAAGAGAUCAGGUCUCUCCAUUUGUUUCUCUUUAUAGGAGUAAGGAUUUAUUUACUGGUUUGUGGCUGAUAACUCUGGGACAGAAAUACCUUUGUGUGUUUAUUUUCUGUGACAGUCUUUGUAAAGCUCUUUGGAGAUACUUUGUAGUCUUUGAAAAUAAUAGAAAGGGAGGGGAAGGAGUUGAUUUUGCUUCAUCUUCUUCAUUGUCUUCCCACUUCUUUUCUUCCACCUUGAGGGGAAGAGAGCACACUAAAGGAAGAGCUCAUGCCUCCCACUGAAGCCUUUACCUGAAAUGUGCCACAUCUGGACAGACAUAGCAACAUACUGACCUAAUUCUUCAUGUUGUGCAGCUGUGUACUCACUAUUUUAAGAGAUAAAUGGAUAACAGUCUCUCCAUUCUCCAGUGUAAAUUGACCAAAGCCUCUUCAUGUCAAUGAAGCGACAUAUGAAGUUGUGAAAGCUGAGAGCCUGGGGCUAAAUGUUAACUGCAAAAAGACAAGGCAGCUAUUGCAUUGGACUUUCAAAAAUUAUUGUGACCAUACAGCAUUUUCAGGUAGAAAUGGUGAUCUAGUUGAAAAAAAGAACUAUGUCUGAGCAUCAUCCAAGUUGAGCACUAAAGUGCAGUGUUCUCCAUAGUGAGUGCUGUGAUCUGGGAGCUCCUGUGGGACACCAGCCUCACAUCAAGUUAUCCAUGGAAAGACCUGCUAAUCCAGAGGAUGUGAUGUGCUCUCUGCAAGGCCAGCAGACGUGUCUCUCUCAGGGAGAAAAUAACUGGUUGUAGCAGCAGCAAGAAAGCAACCAGAUCUAUGCAGCUGCAUGAAAGGGUAAACUGUACUGUGGCUUUUGGGAGGCUUUCCUGGUGACACUUUCACUCCUUACCUCAGGUGAACAUUGCAGUGUGUCCUGCCAUGACCUACUGUCUGAAUUGGAAUGAACUCAUGGAGGAGUGUCCCAUAGGGAAGGGCAUAUACUUCAUUACAUGUCUGUGUGCCAGCACCGGAGAUGCGAAAACAGCUCCGUGGAGAUUUGUCCUGUAAGGUCAACCCCCAGCAUUGAAAGGGUUGGCUGAAUUCACCUCUUGCUACUGACUGACUGCAAUUCCCAAGACUUGGACAUCACUACAGUGUCUGCUGAGGUCAGGCUGCUGAACUCUGGGCUCAGAUGUGCCUUUAGAAGAAACUACCCAUGAACUACAACUCAAGAGAAACCUGAAGGAAAGUUGGAGAAAUGCACAAUUCCUAUGUCAACAUGAUCAAGAGAGUACAGAUCCACAUCUGAACCAUGAGAAGAGUGGUCACAUCCAAGGAGAGGAGCAACAGGCUAGACAGUCGGAACUCUCCCACGCAACUUCCCUGGCACAGACCAGCAUCACCACUGAGCAUCUCCCUCCUCUGCUGCUGGUCCUGUCACACAGCUGGGCUUCAAAAGAGGAUGCUUCUCUCCCACGUGCUUCAAAGAGAAACCAGGAGCCACAGAACAAUUACUCCCACUCACAAGACGAGGGGAAAUCCUCUUCUAACAAGGGAUCAUCCUGUUACAACGAGGAUGUCUGGUGAUUUAUGACUUGCUACUUUAAACUCUCCUUCCCCUAUGAAGAAACACAGGAGACAGCAAAGCUGGAGGGAGAUACAAGAGAGAACUGACUCUGGCAAUACUUGAAAUAUAGUGGGAGAGCUGGGAAAACCCUUUCUUUCUGUCCUCAUUAGCAUGACUUAAUUAAUACUUACAAUCUUAUCAAACAGAAGUUACCAUGCAGGAGGGAUGUGCAGGCUGGAAAUUAAAGCUUUAAUAAAUAGAUAUUUUAAGACCAAAAAAGCACCACUGUAAUUUUGUCUGGCUUCCUGUGUAAUUAAUGCCAGAGAUAGACCUUUUCAACUAAAAAAAAAAAAAAAGUGGAUUUAAUGGGGAAGUAUUGUGAUAUUUUUGGGUAAAACUUGUAACAAGAAAACUUUGAGUGGUUUAUUCUGCAAAAUCCAACUUAUCUGCACUUGACAGGCUUCUAUUUUCAUCUUCUAUUCUUAAGCAUCCUCUAAAUCCCAAAGACUACCUGCUCUGUAAGGUU